rnacentral:rRNA from 1 species
AGUGAACGCUGGCGGCGUGCUUAACACAUGCAAGUCGCACGAGAAAGCUUCUGCUUGCAGAGGCGAGUAAAGUGGCGCACGGGUGAGUAACACGUGGGUAAUCUACCUUCGAAUUGGGGAUAACAACGCGAAAGCGAUGCUAAUACCGAAUGACAUCGUAGCUUCUUAGGAAGCUGCGAUCAAAGGUGGCCUCUUCAUGAAAGCUACUGUUUGAAGAUGAGCCCGCGUCCCAUUAGCUAGUUGGUAGGGUAACGGCCUACCAAGGCUUCGAUGGGUAGCUGGUCUGAGAGGAUGAUCAGCCACACUGGAACUGAAACACGGUCCAGACUCCUACGGGAGGCUG